CGUAAUCCGGGUUGCGGACAGUGUCUGGUGGGUAGUUUGACUGGGGCGGUCUCCUCCUAAAGAGUAACGGAGGAGCACGAAGGUUGGCUAAUCCUGGUCGGACAUCAGGAGGUUAGUGCAAUGGCAUAAGCCAGCUUGACUGCGAGCGUGACGGCGCGAGCAGGUGCGAAAGCAGGUCAUAGUGAUCCGGUGGUUCUGAAUGGAAGGGCCAUCGCUCAACGGAUAAAAGGUACUCCGGGGAUAACAGGCUGAUACCGCCCAAGAGUUCAUAUCGACGGCGGUGUUUGGCACCUCGAUGUCGGCUCAUCACAUCCUGGGGCUGAAGUAGGUCCCAAGGGUAUGGCUGUUCGCCAUUUAAAGUGGUACGCGAGCUGGGUUUAGAACGUCGUGAGACAGUUCGGUCCCUAUCUGCCGUGGGCGCUGGAGAACUGAGGGGGGCUGCUCCUAGUACGAGAGGACCGGAGUGGACGCAUCACUGGUGUUCGGGUUGUCAUGCCAAUGGCACU
rnacentral:rRNA from 1 species